rnacentral:rRNA from 1 species
UACAGAGGGGGCAAGCGUUGUUCGGAAUUACUGGGCGUAAAGGGCGCGUAGGCGGCCUGUUAAGUCGAACGUGAAAUCCCCGGGCUCAACCCGGGAACUGCGUCCGAUACUGGCAGGCUUGAGUUCGGCAGGGGAGACUGGAAUUCCUGGUGUAGCGGUGAAAUGCGCAGAUAUCAGGAAGAACACCCGUGGCGAAGGCGGCUCUCUGGGACGGUACUGACGCUGAGACGCGAAAGCGUGGGGAGCGAACAGG